CUUAUCAACAGUUCGGCUGACCCAUUGCUAAUCUCCCGCAAACAAGCGUCAACUAAAUGUAUGUAUGUCAAUAUAUAUGUAUAUGUAUG